UCAAGGCUGGCCUGCAACAGAAAAGAUUCCAGACAAUUAAGGCAGGCCUAACCCCAGAGGCUGGGGCCCAGGUCUGGGUCCUGCACCCCUGGAGCAGCAGGGGGCGGGGCAACCCCCUCCCCAAGGAACAGGCAAUGACAAGGCCUCAACCUCAAAGAACAUUUCCGUAUUAAAUGGGCUCCUUGAUAUCAGUGAGAAUCACACCUGAAGUAAGAGACACCCAGAAGCUGCCAAUGACGGAGCUGGGGACCAAGGGUCUGGAAUCACUAAGAGCUGCAGGGCAGGCCUGUUGACCACGUAGCAGCCCUGAUAAAGGAGAUCCAAGGGCAAAACUUUGCUGUUUGCCUCAUCGCCUUCACAUCCCAUUGGCAAGUUCAUCGACUGUUGCCGCUGCCGCUGCCGCUGCCUUCCCCCACUGAUGCCAGCUUCAUCAAGUUUCCAAUGGGGACUGAAGACCAGUCACUCUCCAAGAAUCCUCCAGCCUCCGGCACACCAGUCUGGGGCUGCCAGGACCUCAGCUGCAUGGACUGAACAGCUACAGGUUUCCCGCUUCUCUGGUGUGAAGAAAGCCGCUGUUAGGUUGACUACCCAAAUCACGUCGGGUAAACCAAUCUAAUCAAUCCCCCUUUAAUAUAUACUCAAACCAUAGCUUCUAUCCCUCUCAAGAACCCUGACUACUACAGUUCUUCCCCGGGUAGUCCUGAGAUGCUCACUGGCAACAACAGGAGAGAUAUCAGGAAACCAAACCCCUCUUCGCUCAGCAGGUGAGAGACCAGGGAAAAAGGAGGAGAGGCGGAGGCGAGGUGAGCUUGGGUGCUGAAAGAAAGACAGGAGGACUAAAAAAAGAGACGAUUCAUUUUGCAUGUAGGAUCCCACAGAGACUUGCACUCUGGUCCCAAUGUUUAUUUUAAUAGCGGUGUCCAUUUCCUUCUGCUACUGUAAUAAAUUAUGACAAAUGCAGUGGCUUAAAAUAACGCAUUUAAUUAUUUUACCAUU